GAGGAUUGGAGGAGAAGAUCUUGAUCUAGGAUUUCACCAAAGCAAAAGGUUGAUUCCCCUUGUAGAUUUUAUUACUCUUGGGAUUUUGGGAUCCCUAGCCGGAAGGUGUCUCCUCAAGGCCACUAAUCUUGUGCGGUGGUCUUGUGGAUUCAGAAAGGAGCCUCCAAUUAAGUUGUGGAGAUGUGUCCUUCUCCUCGGAUUGGGAGCUUCCAAUUAAGUUGUGGAGAGAGCCCCGGUCAAGUUUGUAAGGGUUGGCAUUCACUCUCAAGGAAGCCAUUAGUGGAGCUCACAUCGCCUUUGUGGUGUAGUGAGAGGAGAAUAGAAUGAGCCUUUGUGGCGUCUCUACUUUUGUGGUAGAGUACUCCUCCAAACGGAGACGUACACCUCACCAAAAGGUGGAAUUCUGGAGUCAAAUCUUCGUCUCCGCGUGUGGUAUAAUUCUUGCCCCUUUACUUACUUGCUAAGCUUAAUUGUUUAUCUUGUGCUUCGGCUAUCGCAUCAUACUAGGGGUGUUCAUCUUUUAGACGUUUUAGUGAACCCAUGUAUUGAUGCUUGUAUCCCUUAAAAAUGAAAAUAAAAAAUAAAAUUUGUUGGUCACCUAUUCAUCCCCCCUCUAGUCGACCAUACCGAUCUUUCACACGGGUCAUGUAGGGGCCUCCCUAUCCCGAGAUUCCCUUCUCGUCUCCUUUUGGCAGCCGCUCGUCUCCGGCCGGGCGCCUCGGCCUCCCCUGUUGCGGCCAACGGCCUCCUCCUCCUCCUCCUGGCCGCUGGCCGGCCGCCUCCUCAUCCUCCCUGUCAACGCUGGCCUCCUCCUCCUCCUCCUGGCCGUGCUCAAGGAAGGAUGUGCCGGCCUCCUCCUCUUCUCCUCCUCCUGGCCGUGCUCAAGGAAGGAUGUGCCGGCCUCCUCCUCUUCUCCUCCCAGCUGCCGCCUCCUCCUCUCGGGAACCUCCUCCUCCGCAGCGACAGCCGUGAGGACGGACGCAACCUCCAUCGUGGACGCCUGCCUCCUCCUCUGUGUAUUUUUGUAUUUGGUGGUUUUUGUUUUCUUUUUCUAAAAUUGGAUAUAAAUGGUGAACUGGAGUGAUGUGUGUUGAAAUUGGAUAAACAAAUGAUGAAAUUGGAUGUUUUGUGGUGAAUUUCAGAUAAAUUGAGGUGAAUUUGGAUGAAAUUGUUUGAAGGUGAAGAAAUAUGGGUUGUGAUUUUGGGUGUCUUGCUAGAGAAGAUUGCAAUUUUUUAGCCUCUAUUUAUCAGGGCCAGCCCCUACUUGUAAUUUUAGUGGUUCAAUUUAGAGUAAAGUCCAUUUUAAAACCCGUGCUUGUAGAGGUGGACACAAUCGAACCCUGACCUGCAAAUCCCUGAACUUAGCACCUU
rnacentral:lncRNA from 1 species